UGUCAAUCCUGUCAGACGCGUCAGAGGUCGAGCAGGGGAAAAUGAGGAUACAAACUAAAUACGGCAAGUACAGUGCGCGCUUGUGGGCCAAUUCCGUACUUGGUGGCGUCGGUCCGUGAGGCUAUGAUUCUGAGCCGUGGCCCAGAACGUCUGGGUGUGGAUAGUCCAGGUUGUAUGGGGGUUUGCCGAGUAGUGAGAUCAAGGAAGUGGUGAGGGGACUCAUGGCGAUGGCAUCUGUGGCGGCUGCGACUUCCUGCGGCGGAGCGGCGAUGGAAGCCGAUGGCCUGGAUUUCCUCAUGGAUCUAGUUGACCGAUCAGAACAGAGCUGUGGAGAUGGAAAAGUUGACCGGGAUUAAAUCCGUAAGAUGGACUUCAAGCUAAUGAGAUACAGUACAAGAUUGAGUGGCUAAAAAAAGGCAAACCCAUAGAUCUACCAUUAUGUCCCAUAUGGCCAUUCAGUCCGGAUGCCCUCACAUCGACGUGGUAAUGUUGCAAAUACUUAAUUUCAGUUUUAUGUUCCCGGUGUACUGCAUGGAUUGCUGGUCCUUGUACAUCCUGGACACAGAGAAGAAGAUCUUCAGGGUGUUGAACCCGACUGAGACACACCCCUGUGACGAGAUGGAAACGAAACACAAUGCCAUUGCAAAGAGAUCCCAGCGUCGAUUCUGACAAUGCUUCAACGACAUAUUCGGUGGAUGAUUGGUUGACGUGGACGGAUGGACUUCUGUCUAUCCGUUGGUGGCCCAUCGCGAUCCUUGUACAAGGGAGGAGAGCGGUGUUUACAUUGUGCACUACAUCCAUGAGUUCAAUGUGCUGUACCUGCAUCUUGUGAUGAACAUAGGUUACAGUAAUAUGUGAUCUCAUUUGUGUGCCUAGAUAUUGUUUUUAUCACCUACGGAAAAGUCUCGAAUAUGAGAUCGUGACUAUGAGAGAGUAUCAGGGUGACCUGCCAAGUUUCAUGUGCCUCGAAAUCAUGGAUUGAGGGGAUGAAGUCAGAAUAGUUGCAGGGCGGCUCUAUCUUUUGACCCUAUUGCUCGUGUGUUCCCUAGUGUAGUUUGUCACUUUUGGUUUUCGCGCCUGCGAAUUUCUAAAACUCAAG